rnacentral:lncRNA from 1 species
AUGGGAAACGAGACAACAGCAAGAAAUCGGAGAAGAAGGAAUGCAGAUGGAAGACAGAUGGAGUCUCUCUCUGUCUCCCAGGCUGGAGUGCAGUUGUGUGAUCUUGGCUCACACAACCUCUGCCUCCCAAGUUCCAGUGAUUCUCCUGCCUCAGCCUCUCGAGUAGCUGGGACUACAGGUGCGUACCGCCAGGCCCGGCUAAUUUUUUGUAUUUUUAGUAGAGAUGGGGUUUCACCAUGUUAGCCAGGAUAUCCUGACCUCGUGAUCUGCCCACCUCAGCCUCCCAAAGUGCUGGGAUUACAAGUGUGAGCCAUGGCACCCGGCCAAUUUUAAAAACUUUUUAAAUGUGGCAACUAGAAAAUUUUAAAUUAUAGAUGUAGUGCAUAUUAUAUUCUAUUGGACGGUGCUGUUCUAUGCAGAAAAUUCCUGCUGAUUACUUGGCAAGAGCAAUUCACUAACAAACUUGGACAGCUAAAUAUGUGUUACUACAAAUAAAAAGGUGUCACUAACCUUGGCUGAACGAAGGUUCUGGAGGAUAACCAUUGUUUGGUACUUACAUUUUGGAAGAACAGUAUUGCACCCAGGGGAAUCUUCCUGGACCCUUUCCAUUAAGUUAUUCAGAAGAAAUGUAAUUUUUUUUCUGUUCUAGUGACAACUACAGUGUAGUUGCCCCAGAUAAUAAAAUUGGGGUUAUAGGCACAGCAUGUAUUUAAUCCAUGCAAGGAUGGAUGUUUUAUGAAGGGAUAAAAACCUCUGGAAGUUAGUAAAAAAAAAAAAUCUGGAAACUACUUAUAAAUAUACUGGGGAAUAUCUACAUCUAAUGUGAGAUGAAAUUGUAACUUACAUAUACUGUAAUCUCUCAAUGCUCUGGCUUUUACUAGCUGAUUUUUCAGAACCUAGACAGCAUUAUAAAAAUAUAAAUCUAGGCCGGUUGUGGUUGCAGUGAGUGGAGAUUGCACCGCUGCACUCCAGCCUGGCCACAGAGUGAGACUUUGUGUCAAAAAAAAAUCAUAUUUUAAAGAAUAUGAUUCUUUAAAUCACACACAAUUUUAAAGAACUAUGAUGAUUCUUUUAUCUUGGUGGUAGACUGUAUCUUCCAAAUUCUCAUAGAGCUUUUCAAAUGUUGAACUAUAUAAUUAUAUAAGAAUUAAUAACAUAUGAUAACAUAUGUAUUAGUAAUAAGAUGCUAUUUAUCCAAACACUUAUAAUAAAGAAAUUGGAUUGCAAAAGAAAGGUGUUUGGGAUAAAAUGUAAGUAGAGACACGAGUGCCAAGAAAAACAAAGACUUUAAACACAGUUUUCAUUUUUUGUUUUUGGAGACGGAGUCUCAUUCUGUUGCCCAGGCUGAAGUGCAGUGGCACAGUCUCAGCUCACUGCCAGCUCCACCUCCCAGGGUCAAGGGAUCCUCCCACCUCAGCCUUCCAAAUAGCUGAGAUUACAGGUGCACACUACCAACUAAUUUUUGUAUUUUCAGUAGAGACAGGUUUCUCGACCAGACUGGUCUUCUGACUUCAGGUGAGCUGCCCACUCGACCUCCCAAAGUGCUGGGAUUACAGGCAUGAGCCACCGCGCCCAGCCUGUUUUUUUCUUCCAUGUUGCUACCUAGUGAAGGUCUAUAAAAUAGAGUUAACUGGGGCGGGAUGAUUUUGAACCAAGUUGACAAAACUCUUAAAAGGUCAGUGUGAAAAUCUUUGGCCUCUGUCUUCAUUCUUGGCAAAGCUCCUUUCCAGUAGUUUCAGUGGCCAUGUAGGGCAAAGGAAACAGAACAGUCAUCAGGAGAACUCCUAGAACCAAUAGUAAAUAAAUUCAAGGAAAAAGUAAAUUUAUACAAAUUUCAAGGAAUAAUUAUUUGGUAAGCCAGGUAGAAAGAUGGGCCCUUUAUUUGUUUAUUUAUUUUAUUUGCCUUUUUGAGACCAAGUCUCGCUCUGUUGCCUAGGACUGGAGUGCAAUGACACGAUCUCGGCUCACUGUAACCUCCACCUCCUGGGUUCAGGUGAUUCUCCUGCCUCAACUCCCAAGUUCCUGGGAUUACAGGUGUGUGCCACCACAUGUGGCUAAGUCUCACCAUGUUAGCCAGACUGGUCUGGAACUCCUGACCUCAAGUUGUCAGCUGCCUUGGCCUUCCAAAGUGCUGGGAUUACAGGCAUGAGCCACUGUGCCCAGCCUAAGAUGGGUCCUUUAAAACGGAAAUUCAUAGAUUUCCCAACAGUGAAAUUGAAUGCAGGACACAGAAGAGUAGUAAUACCUUCACUGUACUCAAGGAAAGAAACUGAGGCAAAGAUUUUUUAUUCAUACAAACUGUCCUUCUAACAUAAAAGCUACAGACAAACACUUAAACUAGCAAGAACUCAUAGAAUAUUGACUAAAUAAACAAUGCUCUUGAGGAAACUGCAAACUGCAGCCAACCAAGAGAAAAUGGGCAAACUUUAGCCACAGGACUGAGAGUAAGAAUCGAAUAUUUUUAACUCCAGACCUAAAACAAACAAAAAUAAAGUUAGAAUUAAGAAAAAAUAAAGGUGAGAAUGAGGAUGGCAAAAUGUUACAUACUAUGACAAUGUAAGAAAACUUGAAUUACCAAAAAAAAUGGGAGAAAGGAGAGGUAAUUUGUAAGUGGCAUAAGUUUUGAAAGCUUCAUCUGUAAUUGCUCAGAAUCUAAAUGUAUCUUUAAGGGUGACAAGUCGUGUAGAAGGAUAAAUGUAUCUAGUGGCACAAAGGUAAGCCCUGAGUCAGUUAGUGUUAUUUACUAAAACUGAAUGGAGAGAGAGAAGGAGGUGAGACAGGAGGAAGAGGAUACAAGUUCAUGUUGCACAUGGCAGGGAAGCAACAAAUAUUGCCUAAGAGGAAAUAUGAUAUAUAAAGGUGUCAUUAUAAAAAUAACCAUGAGAAAAAGAAAACAGAGCAUUUAAAUAGCAGAAGAACGACAGAAACAACAAAAAAAGCAAAAUCAAACUUCUUAAUUAUUAACUACCACAGACAGAGAAAAAAGCAUAAAAUGUGAAUUACAGAAUAAUCAAUAAUUAUACAGCACAUAUAUAUUAAGGAAAUACAUUACUAGCAUUCCUUUCUGAUCAUAAUCUCUUCGCCUAUACAGAUAGCCACUAUCCUGAC